rnacentral:rRNA from 1 species
UACGUAGGGUGCGAGCGUUAAUCGGAAUUACUGGGCGUAAAGCGUGCGCAGGCGGUUCUGAAAGUCAGCUGUGAAAGCCCCGGGCUUAACCUGGGAAUGGCGGUUGAAACUACAGGACUAGAAUCUGGCAGAGGGGGGUGGAAUUCCACGUGUAGCAGUGAAUGCGUAGAGAUGUGGAGGAACACCGAUGGCGAAGGCAGCCCCCUGGGCUGAGAUUGACGCUCAGGCACGAAAGCGUGGGGAGCAAACAGG